rnacentral:lncRNA from 1 species
GGGUUCAUGCUUUCAAGUUGUCAGAGCACUGGAUGGGGAAGCCAAUUCCAAUUUUUAUGCCAGCACACAGGUAGCAUUUGCACCCUAAAAGCAAUCCCCUGGGUACCUGCUUCCUCAUGUGCAAUACUGUAGCUAUCACCACCAAGCUCACCUCAACAGCAGCAGAAGUGCAUGUGUCAGGGGCUGCAAGCCAGACAGACAUUGCAUCCUGGGGACUAUAACCAGUCAGGAAGGGAGUUUGGGGGCACGGGAGCACUUAAGCCUGCAAAGCAGUCAUUUAAAAUAAUAACCAAAGGAAGUACUUCUUCAUACAGCAGGUGGUAAACAUGUGGAACUUGUUAAUCCCAAAAAGCUGAACAAGCCAAGAAACGUAAAUAGGUUCAAGAAGGGUUUAGAAAAAUUGUGGACAUCCGAUCUCUUACCGCUUGUCAAAGGGAGGUUGGAGGUGUCUGGAUGCAUUCUCAGCUUUUGAAGUUGCAGAGGCAGUUGCUACACUCCUU